rnacentral:rRNA from 1 species
AUACGUAGGGGGCGAGCGUUAUCCGGAAUGACUGGGCGUAAAGCGCGUGUAGGCGGCUGUGUAAGUUUGGAGUGAAAGUCCCGCAUUCAAUGUGGGAAUUGCUUUGGAUACUGGAGUGCUAGAGUGCGGAAGAGGUCAGUGGAAUUCCCAGUGUAGCGGUGAAAUGGGUAGAAAGCAGUAGGAACACCAGUGGCGAAGGCGUCUUACUGGGCCGAUCCUGACGCGCAGGAGCGAAAGCGUGGGGAGCAAAGAGGAUUAGAUUCCCGGGUAGUCCACGCCGUAAACGAUGAGUGCUAGCUGCGGGAGAUAUCAUACUUUCUCCGGUGGCGUAGAAAACUCGUUAAACACUCCGCCUGGGAAGUACGCCCGCGAGGUUAACACACAAAGGAUUAGGCGG